GCUGAGCGACCCCCCUUUAAGAAGGGUUGAGGUCUCUGUGGGUUUCAACUCCUGAGGGCCUAGCCUUUAAAAUGCCCGGUGCCAUUGACCUCUCCCUGUAAGAAGGGUGCAGGUCUCCCCUUUCUAGCUUGUCUUGGGCCGUUGGCACUCGCUGGGCAACGAGACCACCCUCUCCUGAGGGAACGGAGGCCUCUCCUUCACUGCGCUUUUCGCUCUGGCCCAUUGGAACGCCCCUGGCUUCGGGACCACCCUGUAAGGAGGGUUUGGGUCUCCUUUCCCCCGCCAAUUAAGCCACAGGUCACUUUGACACGCCAGGAAAAUGACUGCCCUGUAACCAGGGUGUAAGGUCUUAUUCCUCUCACGCUUAAACUAGGGGAGCCUUUUUGUGCCUGUGGCUGAGCGACCCCCCUUUAAGAAGGGUUGAGGUCUCUGUGGGUUUCAACUCCUGAGGGCCUAGCCUUUAAAAUGCCCGGUGCCAUUGACCUCUCCCUGUAAGAAGGGUGCAGGUCUCCCCUUUCUAGCUUGUCUUGGGCCGUUGGCACUCGCUGGGCAACGAGACCACCCUCUCCUGAGGGAACGGAGGCCUCUCCUUCACUGCGCUUUUCGCUCUGGCCCAUUGGAACGCCCCUGGCUUCGGGACCACCCUGUAAGGAGGGUUUGGGUCUCCUUUGCCACGCCAAUUAAGCCACAGGUCACUUUGACACGCCAGGAAAAUGACUGCCCUGUAACCAGGGUGUAAGGUCUUAUCCCUCUCACGCUUAAACUAGGGGAGCCUUUUUGUGCCUGUGGCUGAGCGACCCCCCUUUAAGAAGGGUUGAGGUUCUGUUUCUCUUAGUCACAGUAAAAUCCCCCGGAAUGAUUUCUACUUGGCUUUUUUGAGAUUUGAAGUGAAAUCUUACUUGUGACCUAUCCCGCUCACAUGGAACAUGGUGUGGCGAAGGGCCGGCUGUAAGGGGAUGGUGGAGGCCGUGGAAAAUUCGCCCCUUUUCUCAAAAAAGCCAAGAAAUGGCCCAACCAUGCUAAUGUCACAAAGUCUGGAAAUAAACAGGUGAGGUUUGGGAUACAGACCCUCACUUCCACGUGAUCCUUCCUCAAGUCCUCUUGCCCUGCCCAAUUUACACUGCUCAACCAACCACAACUUUGACCCUUUGUUUUCUUGUGCACAAGAAAGACACGGUUGGACUGAUGAGUGUUAACUGUAGAGAUUCGGACAGCUGCCUUAGUCGGGUCCGAAUUCCAGGCCUUGCGUCUCUUUGCUGAGAGACGGAGGAGAUUCCUAGGGCUAUGUUUGAAGGGCUUGAUGUGGCUCACGUGGUGUAGGUAGGUGUGGUGGUAUUCAGAGCCGGCACGUGGGUGCACCUAACCCUACUAACAGGACUGCGUCACAAGGAAGAGGUGUCUUUUUUUUCUGGUCAAGGUUACGGGGCACAAAGUUGUCAUUUUCUUGGUGGGGUAGGAAGGUAAGUCGGGAAGGGUGUCGCUGAGGGAUGGAGAAUCGAUUGGAAAGGGGAGACUCAGCAGGAUCCCUCCCUUACCUGUCCAUUUCCAGAUCUUUUCACACCUUGGGGACUCCUCCCUUAAACAAGGGGGCGGGGGAGAGACUAUUUUACUAAAGGAAGGGUGACCGCCCUGUAAUCAGGGUUCAGGUCUCUUUCCCUUUUCUCCUCUCUGCAUUGGCCCUCUUCCUGCCAAGAUCUAAAGUCAGCUCCCUUUAACUAGGGUGUGGGUCUUUCCCUGCCUUUCACAAGAGAACACUGCCACCGAGAAGGUAGUUCUAGAAACCAGCCUCUUGAGAGGGUUCAGGGUUUGUCCUACUAGCUGGCCCGUGCCCUCCUCACUCAUGCACUCAGCCAAGCCAAAGCCAGCGUCCUCUGCAUCCACCUGCACCCGCGUUCCGCCGCAAGCUCUCCUGCUCUCUGCCAGAGAUCGGUGCCGAAAAGUAGGAAAUAGGCAACUCAAAGGACAAAGUGGACAAGACGACAGAAGCACCAAAGAAACUGCAGGAAGAGGGAAGACAAAGCCACGGCCAAAGGCUGAGUACACUGCACACACCGCACCCCUCUACCGAGGGCUGGGGAUCGACACUUCGCCCCACACGCUUAAUCCCCCUUGAGGUGCCCGUUGAAAGGACCUCCCUGUAAACAGGGAUCAAGGUCCAUUCCUUGCCAAGCAAAAUGCUCUAUGGGUCCCUUCCAUAGCCGAGGCUGAGCGACCCCCCUUUAAGAAGGGUUGAGGUCUCUGUGGGUUUCAACUCCUGAGGGCCUAGCCUUUAAAAUGCCCGGUGCCAUUGACCUCUCCCUGUAAGAAGGGUGCAGGUCUCCCCUUUCUAGCUUGUCUUGGGCCGUUGGCACUCGCUGGGCAACGAGACCACCCUCUCCUGAGGGAACGGAGGCCUCUCCUUCACCGCGCUUUUCGCUCUGGCCCAUUGGAACGCCCCUGGCUUCGGGACCACCCUGUAAGGAGGGUUUGGGUCUCCUUUGCCCCGCCAAUUAAGCCACAGGUCACUUUGACACGCCAGGAAAAUGACUGCCCUGUAACCAGGGUGUAAGGUCUUAUUCCUCUCACGCUUAAACUAGGGGAGCCUUUUUGUGCCUGUGGCUGAGCGACCCCCCUUUAAGAAGGGUUGAGGUCUCUGUGGGUUUCAACUCCUGAGGGCCUAGCCUUUAAAAUGCCCGGUGCCAUUGACCUCUCCCUGUAAGAAGGGUGCAGGUCUCCCCUUUCUAGCUUGUCUUGGGCCGUUGGCACUCGCUGGGCAACGAGACCACCCUCUCCUGAGGGAACGGAGGUCUCUCCUUCACUGCGCUUUUCGCUCUGGCCCAUUGGAACGCCCCUGGCUUCGGGACCACCCUGUAAGGAGGGUUUGGGUCUCCUUUGCCACGCCAAUUAAGCCACAGGUCACUUUGACACGCCAGGAAAAUGACUGCCCUGUAACCAGGGUGUAAGGUCUUAUCCCUCUCACGCUUAAACUAGGGGAGCCUUUUUGUGCCUGUGGCUGAGCGACCCCCCUUUAAGAAGGGUUGAGGUUCUGUUUCUCUUAGUCACAGUAAAAUCCCCCGGAAUGAUUUCUACUUGGCUUUUUUGAGAUUUGAAGUGAAAUCUUACUUGUGACCUAUCCCGCUCACAUGGAACAUGGUGUGGCGAAGGGCCGGCUGUAAGGGGAUGGUGGAGGCCGUGGAAAAUUCGCCCCUUUUCUCAAAAAAGCCAAGAAAUGGCCCAACCAUGCUAAUGUCACAAAGUCUGGAAAUAAACAGGUGAGGUUUGGGAUACAGACCCUCACUUCCACGUGAUCCUUCCUCAAGUCCUCUUGCCCUGCCCAAUUUACACUGCUCAACCAACCACAACUUUGACCCUUUGUUUUCUUGUGCACAAGAAAGACACGGUUGGACUGAUGAGUGUUAACUGUAGAGAUUCGGACAGCUGCCUUAGUCGGGUCCGAAUUCCAGGCCUUGCGUCUCUUUGCUGAGAGACGGAGGAGAUUCCUAGGGCUAUGUUUGAAGGGCUUGAUGUGGCUCACGUGGUGUAGGUAGGUGUGGUGGUAUUCAGAGCCGGCACGUGGGUGCACCUAACCCUACUAACAGGACUGCGUCACAAGGAAGAGGUGUCUUUUUUUUCUGGUCAAGGUUACGGGGCACAAAGUUGUCAUUUUCUUGGUGGGGUAGGAAGGUAAGUCGGGAAGGGUGUCGCUGAGGGAUGGAGAAUCGAUUGGAAAGGGGAGACUCAGCAGGAUCCCUCCCUUACCUGUCCAUUUCCAGAUCUUUUCACACCUUGGGGACUCCUCCCUUAAACAAGGGGGCGGGGGAGAGACUAUUUUACUAAAGGAAGGGUGACCGCCCUGUAAUCAGGGUUCAGGUCUCUUUCCCUUUUCUCCUCUCUGCAUUGGCCCUCUUCCUGCCAAGGUCUAAAGUCAGCUCCCUUUAACUAGGGUGUGGGUCUUUCCCUGCCUUUCACAAGAGAACACUGCCACCGAGAAGGUAGUUCUAGAAACCAGCCUCUUGAGAGGGUUCAGGGUUUGUCCUACUAGCCGGCCCGUGCCCUCCUCACUCAUGCACUCAGCCAAGCCAAAGCCAGCGUCCUCUGCAUCCACCUGCACCCGCGUUCCACCGCAAGCUCUCCUGCUCUCUGCCAGAGAUCGGUGCCGAAAAGUAGGAAUUAGGCAACUCAAAGGACAAAGUGGACAAGACGACAGAAGCACCAAAGAAACUGCAGGAAGAGGGAAGACAAAGCCACGGCCAAAGGCUGAGUACACUGCACACACCGCACCCCUCUACCGAGGGCUGGGGAUCGACACUUCGCCCCACAUGCUUAAUCCCCCUUGAGGUGCCCGUUGAAAGGACCUCCCUGUAAACAGGGAUCAAGGUCCAUUCCUUGCCAAGCAAAAUGCUCUAUGGGUCCCUUCCAUAGCCGAGGCUGAGCGACCCCCCUUUAAGAAGGGUUGAGGUCUCUGUGGGUUUCAACUCCUGAGGGCCUAGCCUUUAAAAUGCCCGGUGCCAUUGACCUCUCCCUGUAAGAAGGGUGCAGGUCUCCCCUUUCUAGCUUGUCUUGGGCCGUUGGCACUCGCUGGGCAACGAGACCACCCUCUCCUGAGGGAACGGAGGCCUCUCCUUCACCGCGCUUUUCGCUCUGGCCCAUUGGAACGCCCCUGGCUUCGGGACCACCCUGUAAGGAGGGUUUGGGUCUCCUUUGCCCCGCCAAUUAAGCCACAGGUCACUUUGACACGCCAGGAAAAUGACUGCCCUGUAACCAGGGUGUAAGGUCUUAUUCCUCUCACGCUUAAACUAGGGGAGCCUUUUUGUGCCUGUGGCUGAGCGACCCCCCUUUAAGAAGGGUUGAGGUUCUGUUUCUCUUAGUCACAGUAAAAUCCCCCGGAAUGAUUUCUACUUGGCUUUUUUGAGAUUUGAAGUGAAAUCUUACUUGUGACCUAUCCCGCUCACAUGGAACAUGGUGUGGCGAAGGGCCGGCUGUAAGGGGAUGGUGGAGGCCGUGGAAAAUUCGCCCCUUUUCUCAAAAAAGCCAAGAAAUGGCCCAACCAUGCUAAUGUCACAAAGUCUGGAAAUAAACAGGUGAGGUUUGGGAUACAGACCCUCACUUCCACGUGAUCCUUCCUCAAGUCCUCUUGCCCUGCCCAAUUUACACUGCUCAACCAACCACAACUUUGACCCUUUGUUUUCUUGUGCACAAGAAAGACACGGUUGGACUGAUGAGUGUUAACUGUAGAGAUUCGGACAGCUGCCUUAGUCGGGUCCGAAUUCCAGGCCUUGCGUCUCUUUGCUGAGAGACGGAGGAGAUUCCUAGGGCUAUGUUUGAAGGGCUUGAUGUGGCUCACGUGGUGUAGGUAGGUGUGGUGGUAUUCAGAGCCGGCACGUGGGUGCACCUAACCCUACUAACAGGACUGCGUCACAAGGAAGAGGUGUCUUUUUUUUCUGGUCAAGGUUACGGGGCACAAAGUUGUCAUUUUCUUGGUGGGGUAGGAAGGUAAGUCGGGAAGGGUGUCGCUGAGGGAUGGAGAAUCGAUUGGAAAGGGGAGACUCAGCAGGAUCCCUCCCUUACCUGUCCAUUUCCAGAUCUUUUCACACCUUGGGGACUCCUCCCUUAAACAAGGGGGCGGGGGAGAGACUAUUUUACUAAAGGAAGGGUGACCGCCCUGUAAUCAGGGUUCAGGUCUCUUUCCCUUUUCUCCUCUCUGCAUUGGCCCUCUUCCUGCCAAGGUCUAAAGUCAGCUCCCUUUAACUAGGGUGUGGGUCUUUCCCUGCCUUUCACAAGAGAACACUGCCACUGAGAAGGUAGUUCUAGAAACCAGCCUCUUGAGAGGGUUCAGGGUUUGUCCUACUAGCUGGCCCGUGCCCUCCUCACUCAUGCACUCAGCCAAGCCAAAGCCAGCGUCCUCUGCAUCCACCUGCACCCGCGUUCCGCCGCAAGCUCUCCUGCUCUCUGCCAGAGAUCGGUGCCGAAAAGUAGGAAUUAGGCAACUCAAAGGACAAAGUGGACAAGACGACAGAAGCACCAAAGAAACUGCAGGAAGAGGGAAGACAAAGCCACGGCCAAAGGCUGAGUACACUGCACACACCGCACCCCUCUACCGAGGGCUGGGGAUCGACACUUCGCCCCACACGCUUAAUCCCCCUUGAGGUGCCCGUUGAAAGGACCUCCCUGUAAACAGGGAUCAAGGUCCAUUCCUUGCCAACCAAAAUGCUCUAUGGGUCCCUUCCAUAGCCGAGGCUGAGCGACCCCCCUUUAAGAAGGGUUGAGGUCUCUGUGGGUUUCAACUCCUGAGGGCCUAGCCUUUAAAAUGCCCGGUGCCAUUGACCUCUCCCUGUAAGAAGGGUGCAGGUCUCCCCUUUCUAGCUUGUCUUGGGCCGUUGGCACUCGCUGGGCAACGAGACCACCCUCUCCUGAGGGAACGGAGGCCUCUCCUUCACUGCGCUUUUCGCUCUGGCCCAUUGGAACGCCCCUGGCUUCGGGACCACCCUGUAAGGAGGGUUUGGGUCUCCUUUGCCACGCCAAUUAAGCCACAGGUCACUUUGACACGCCAGGAAAAUGACUGCCCUGUAACCAGGGUGUAAGGUCUUAUUCCUCUCACGCUUAAACUAGGGGAGCCUUUUUGUGCCUGUGGCUGAGCGACCCCCCUUUAAGAAGGGUUGAGGUCUCUGUGGGUUUCAACUCCUGAGGGCCUAGCCUUUAAAAUGCCCGGUGCCAUUGACCUCUCCCUGUAAGAAGGGUGCAGGUCUCCCCUUUCUAGCUUGUCUUGGGCCGUUGGCACUCGCUGGGCAACGAGACCACCCUCUCCUGAGGGAACGGAGGUCUCUCCUUCACUGCGCUUUUCGCUCUGGCCCAUUGGAACGCCCCUGGCUUCGGGACCACCCUGUAAGGAGGGUUUGGGUCUCCUUUGCCACGCCAAUUAAGCCACAGGUCACUUUGACACGCCAGGAAAAUGACUGCCCUGUAACCAGGGUGUAAGGUCUUAUCCCUCUCACGCUUAAACUAGGGGAGCCUUUUUGUGCCUGUGGCUGAGCGACCCCCCUUUAAGAAGGGUUGAGGUUCUGUUUCUCUUAGUCACAGUAAAAUCCCCCGGAAUGAUUUCUACUUGGCUUUUUUGAGAUUUGAAGUGAAAUCUUACUUGUGACCUAUCCCGCUCACAUGGAACAUGGUGUGGCGAAGGGCCGGCUGUAAGGGGAUGGUGGAGGCCGUGGAAAAUUCGCCCCUUUUCUCAAAAAAGCCAAGAAAUGGCCCAACCAUGCUAAUGUCACAAAGUCUGGAAAUAAACAGGUGAGGUUUGGGAUACAGACCCUCACUUCCACGUGAUCCUUCCUCAAGUCCUCUUGCCCUGCCCAAUUUACACUGCUCAACCAACCACAACUUUGACCCUUUGUUUUCUUGUGCACAAGAAAGACACGGUUGGACUGAUGAGUGUUAACUGUAGAGAUUCGGACAGCUGCCUUAGUCGGGUCCGAAUUCCAGGCCUUGCGUCUCUUUGCUGAGAGACGGAGGAGAUUCCUAGGGCUAUGUUUGAAGGGCUUGAUGUGGCUCACGUGGUGUAGGUAGGUGUGGUGGUAUUCAGAGCCGGCACGUGGGUGCACCUAACCCUACUAACAGGACUGCGUCACAAGGAAGAGGUGUCUUUUUUUUCUGGUCAAGGUUACGGGGCACAAAGUUGUCAUUUUCUUGGUGGGGUAGGAAGGUAAGUCGGGAAGGGUGUCGCUGAGGGAUGGAGAAUCGAUUGGAAAGGGGAGACUCAGCAGGAUCCCUCCCUUACCUGUCCAUUUCCAGAUCUUUUCACACCUUGGGGACUCCUCCCUUAAACAAGGGGGCGGGGGAGAGACUAUUUUACUAAAGGAAGGGUGACCGCCCUGUAAUCAGGGUUCAGGUCUCUUUCCCUUUUCUCCUCUCUGCAUUGGCCCUCUUCCUGCCAAGGUCUAAAGUCAGCUCCCUUUAACUAGGGUGUGGGUCUUUCCCUGCCUUUCACAAGAGAACACUGCCACCGAGAAGGUAGUUCUAGAAACCAGCCUCUUGAGAGGGUUCAGGGUUUGUCCUACUAGCUGGCCCGUGCCCUCCUCACUCAUGCACUCAGCCAAGCCAAAGCCAGCGUCCUCUGCAUCCACCUGCACCCGCGUUCCGCCGCAAGCUCUCCUGCUCUCUGCCAGAGAUCGGUGCCGAAAAGUAGGAAUUAGGCAACUCAAAGGACAAAGUGGACAAGACGACAGAAGCACCAAAGAAACUGCAGGAAGAGGGAAGACAAAGCCACGGCCAAAGGCUGAGUACACUGCACACACCGCACCCCUCUACCGAGGGCUGGGGAUCGACACUUCGCCCCACACGCUUAAUCCCCCUUGAGGUGCCCGUUGAAAGGACCUCCCUGUAAACAGGGAUCAAGGUCCAUUCCUUGCCAACCAAAAUGCUCUAUGGGUCCCUUCCAUAGCCGAGGCUGAGCGACCCCCCUUUAAGAAGGGUUGAGGUCUCUGUGGGUUUCAG